GGGAAGAUGGCCGAGUGGUUAUGGCGCUACGUUCAGGUCGUAGUAGGGCAACCUGCGUGGGUUCGAGUCCCACUCUUCUCA
rnacentral:tRNA from 12 species